rnacentral:lncRNA from 1 species
GUGUUUUUUAUUUGUUUAUUGUGCUUAUGACCAAUUAGAUGGGUCAAUUCCUUCCAAUUAGUUUUUACAGAAUGUUCUUAUGUUGUGUUAGUAUAUCACUGUCCCAGUUUAGGAAAAUGGUUGACACUCAAAAACAUGCUUUUCCCCACUGCAUCCUUUUUGUAAUCUGUCAUCCAGUUGUUGCAGUUGUUUGAUGUCUGCUAUCAUUUUUCUUUCUUUUAUUUUUGUAGUAUAGGAUUUUUUUCUCAUUCAAAUUUUUACAUACAUGUAUAUAUGGACUUUUGUUAUUUUUCUUUUUCUAUUGUAUUAAUCUGUAAAACAGUUUUAAAUCAGUAGGAAC